CAGUCGCCGCGGUAAUACGAAGGGUGCAAGCGUUAAUCGGAAUUACUGGGCGUAAAGCGUGCGUAGGCGGUUUGUUAAGUCUGUUGUGAAAUCCCCGGGCUCAACCUGGGAAUGGCAAUGGAUACUGGCAAGCUAGAGUGUGUCAGAGGAUGGUGGAACUCCCGGUGUAGCGGUGAAAUGCGUAGAGAUCGGGAGGAACAUCAGUGGCGAAGGCGGCCAUCUGGGACAACACUGACGCUGAGGCACGAAAGCGUGGGGAGCAAACAGGAUUAGAUACCCCGGUAGUCCCUGUCUCUUAUAC
rnacentral:rRNA from 1 species